rnacentral:lncRNA from 1 species
AAAAGGUGUAGUUUGUUUGAGAAGGAAAGGAAAAUUAUUGUAUCUCUGCUUAUCAUUCCAGGAACAUGUCAGCAGCCAAGGAAUUAGUCGCUGAAUGCAAGACAGGAAGAUCUGUUGGUGUUUUCCUUGAUGGCUGCUUCUGCUGAUUACCUUCAGGGAGGCAAAUGCUGGAAAGAGCAUAUGCCAGAAAGGAAAAAAAUAGCAGCUAGAGUAUUCAUGCAAUUUGCUCUUGCAAAGACUCCAGAGGAUGAGACCACAUUGGGUUUUUUUUGACUAAGUUAACAGCUCUGGAGUACAGGAAAAAAUGAAGAAUAAGAGAGA